GUCGGUUCUGCCUCCGGAAGCCGGCAGGUCAUUGCCGCAAAGCCUGCUGGGACAUGAAGUCCGGCCGCGACACAGUAGGAACGGCCCUUCGCUAGCGUUCGAUCGCCAGCACGCUGAGAAGGGAGGAGGCAACCUGUUGGGCCUUUCUGGCCUAUCCACAGUCUGGGUUCCUGGGUGUCCUGGCUCUCCCUGGCAACCAUGUAAGGUCCCAGUUGGCUUUGCCUGUACCCAGGAGCUGUAUUGCCUCCAUCUUCUCGGCCCACCAACCAGGUAUAGACACAUCACAGCAUCUAAAUAUCCUUUCCAAGGUCUUCAUUGCAACCCUACCAAGUACUAAUCUGCGGCAUAUUUCUUAACUGCUGCCUUGACAUAUCUUCCUUGGAUCUAGGAGGCAGCCCAAAAAACAGGGAGCCAGACAAUGGAUGCAUGACAAAAUUGCCAAACUUAGUGACAGACUUUAUAGUGGUGGUAAAUGGAUUUAUCUGUAUCCCCUUUACAAGUAACAUCCUUAGAACAGAAAUAGGGCUGCCUAGGACAAACAAAGAUUGUAUUAAAUAACUCUUCCUCUAAACAUCCUAGUCCAGGUGCCACAGUUAAAUUUCUAGGCACCAUGGCUUCCUGGCACCUGGGAUUUGUCAAGCCCUAUAAUAUCCAGAUCUUGCCAUGGUAUUGUCUUUUGAAUGCUCAUAAUCUUGAACAAAAAAAGAGUAGGCACUGACACUGAGAUAUAUGCCUGAGGGAAAGAUGAGUAUUAGCAGCUGAGAGGAAUGCAGGAGACAUGGCUUUGAAUCAAAGCCAGACCAAGCCAUAAAAGGGACUGGGCAAAAACCUCACAACAGACUUUUUGAUAUGAGGAAGUGUGUGGGGUUGGUAGGAUGGGGCAAGCAAAGGUUUUGGGGAGAUGUGAAGCCAAGGAGCUUAAAUAGGUGGGAAGAAUUUACAUAAUUAUUUGAGCGAUCUAGCCAAAUCUCCUGUUUAGGUCUUUAGUCACAGCCUCCCUAACUUGAAGUGAUAAUUAAUAACCUAUGGUAACUGUGAUGAAGGGGGAAUUAUUUCUGUUAUCACAGAUGUUUACAAACCAUCUAUAGCUGGGUAAUGGACCAUUUGUUCAUUCAAUUAUCACUGGCAGUAUGUAACCUCUGGUAGGAUUGGUACUUUAAGCCAGUCAGUCUGUGACUAAAGAAAGACCUCCUACUUAAGAUUUGACUCAAUAGUUCAGUACAUGAUGUGAAAUUGAACUUUCUUCUCAAGCACAUAUUGAGUAAUCAACUUGUGUCAGGAACAUGCUCAUGUCUUUGCAAUUGUAUUAAAAGCUGUACAACAGUUUAUAGAACACCUCUGAAGAGAGACUCUUUGUUGUGCUUUUAUCACAGAUUUUCAGAAUUAUUAUUUUUAGUAAGUACAGCAUAAGCUUGAAACCUUGAAACUCACAUGCAUGUGACUAUAUCAUGUCCUCCAAGGGCUUCUAGAUUGCUUCAAUUGAUUUUGCUUUCUGCUUCAACAUUUCAUCUCUAUAUAUGAUUUGAUACCAAGAAAGAAUAGAAUGGGAAAACCAACUGGAGGUAGUUACGGUGUUAAGCAGGA